GUAAGGGUUUUAUUUGCUUUCUUGGUCAAACACGGUGAUACAUGCAGUUGGCACAAAACUUGCUAGGCAUUAGUGUCUUAAACAUGGACAGAAACCGAAAUGUCCGCAUAGCAAUGAGGGCAAACAUGUCCUCCAUCCCUAUACAAACCCAAGAGGGAAGGGCAGAAGAGGGGGAGGCAGAGCCCGUGUGGCCUUGUUCAGCUCAGGCUCUCUGUAAACCCUAAAAAAGCUGCAGCCGCCUUCGCCUUUGUUCUUGCUGUGUGGUUAGUUUGAAAAUGGAGAUGAGAAGCAGUUUGGCUCCGGAGCAUUAAUGAGUUUCAACAGGAAUAAAAAUAUUUGAGGUAAGAGAUGUGAGAAUGAGCAGUUCAGAUUCUCUCACCUUUUGAUCCUUGAGUAUAUUUACACUUGUGUUGGUACCGGGCAGAAGUUGCAGUCUGAUUUAAUCUACUCAGGGGUGUUUCAGAAGCCACCUGUGAGCACUUCUAUAAUGGCAGCUUUGCGGUGGUAUUUCCCGUCCUGGCUGCAGUUGAGCAAACAGCCCAGUCCUCGUGUCUGCUCCGUGCCAAAGGAUUGAUUUGUGGCAGUGGCAGCAAUAACUGCACUGGCAUUACUUAGCAGUUCUCUCACCCGCUCCUCUUGCAGUGCUGUGCGCUGUGGCUGUGGGACUGUGACAGUGUGUGAAGGCUUCAGGAGACAAAGUUGUCUCAAUGAGGCGGUUAGGGGAUGACCUGGAUCCCACAGCAGCACUGCUCCUCCUGCAGACAUCCCACACAGCAUGAGCAGCAAAGGGGCUGUCCUGGGGACUUCUUGUGAUGUUUUUUUUUCCUUCAUGUUUCGGUCUCACAGCACCAGGCAUAGAAAAGUCAGUGUGGUUAGCAUGGCCAGGUGGGGGAAACUAGAGAAGCACACAGAUGAAGGGAAACACAGACACAAUCCAUACGUGCACAGAGCUUUCUCAGCUCCCAGCUGUGCUCCCACCCAGCACAGACAGCAGUGCAGACACCGAUGGGACCCUGAUUUCUUGCAGCACCAGACCAGCGUUAGCAAUGCUCACCCAGGGCACUCAUCCCCAAAAAGGUUAGAUUGUGACAUGAAAGUCAUAAACUUUUGCAGUGCUAAGGAAGGGGAAAAGUCCCACCCAGAGCAGUUUCAGUAUUUUUCAUGUUGUCCUCUAACACAUCCUCAUCACAGGCUUCUUACAGCUAUUAAAAGUAUUCCUUUACAUGAAAGCACUACCAGAUGACUGACCCAGUGGUAUUCUGGUGUUGAUGCAGUGAUCUAUGCUGUGUGUCUCAGUGAAUGCAUAUGUCAGUGAGGGCAUAUUUAGUACUGUCCAAGCACCAUUCAGAAUGUUCCUUUCAGAAUAACUGUACCCAAGCGUGUGAAACAUCUGGCUGCUUGGCAUCUGCUGUGAAAUGGCAGUAGGUGUGUGGGUUGUUGUUUCUUUUUCCUUCAGAUUACUUCUUCAAGACAGAUGGCUCUUCAAUUUCCUCCAUGCUCAGGGCAGUUCAAGGCAAUAGGUGUGGGGCAAUGCUUUAUGAACCGUUGUCUUUCCAAAAUGAGAAUUAAUUGCUGCUUUCUCAGAGGACUGGACUCCAAGUUGUCCAUUUGCCCACUGAUGAGGGGUAAGAUGGAUCACAAAAGGUUUUCUGACUUGCAUGCACAUUCAAGCCAUGUUUUCCACAUAAGGACUCCAGGGAGAGCUUCUAGAGCACAGGGUGUUUAUUUCUUGCAAACAACAUUAUUUGGAACAGAUACUUUUUCACACUUCAGCAAUGGCUGGGAGCAAACAAGCCUUUAUCUUUGCUUCUUUCCACAUGCAUCUAUGCUCUGAAAUCCAAUUAUGGAUCACAGCUUUUUUAGCUGCCUGGAAGCACUCAGAGUAUCUCUGUUUACUGGGAACAUCACCCACUGCGUUUUUGUCACAGUGAGAAGUUUCUCUCCCUUCUUUUUCAUCAGCACCCACUGCCUCAAACAAACUCUGCCUCCUUACAGAGCAGCGCAAGAGCCGAUUUCCUAGUAGCUUCCCUCUGCCUGAGCACAGCAAUAGCUCUUCAGUGUUAAUAAACCUGGGAGCAUCUUCCUUUUGACUGUGAUUGCUCCCUACAACCGCUCCCUCAUCCCUUCUGAGACACCUCAGCUCUGAGCAGAGCGUUUCUUUCUGCAUUGGCCUUGGAGAGGGAAACCUUGGAAAACUGAACAUCCGUGGGAAAUGUGGUUUUCCUGGGGCUUCUUCUUUCAUGGCUGGGGGAUGAAGGGAGUCCAGGUGGCUGGAGGAGAUGCACUGUGAGGAGUCAGUGCUGGAGUUUUUGCUCCACAAACCCUUGGAGGAGCAGAGGUUUCCUGUGCGCCUGUAGAUCUGUGCCAGGGGGUCCUCUCUGGACCAGAAGUCGGCUUCUGCAUCAUCAGGAGCAGAUGUAGCUUUUCCCAGUGGCAUCACAUUUGAGAUGAAAUUGGUCAAUUUACAUGCUGACAUUUCUUUCUGGGAUGGGGACCAUGACAUGGCUUCCAGGGUCUGCAGGAUUCUUCUGUUCCGAACCCUAUGGCUGCUUUCCGGAAUGCCUGGGAAGGUGGGCCUGGCAAGGUGGCAGAUAGAUUGAAUGUAGUCAUCGCUAGAGUACAAGUCUGGGUUGGUUGAAGUGUUUGCAGUGUGCUUUGGGUUGCUGGUUAGGUCUUCCAUUGCUUCCUCGUGGGUUUCGCAGAUGGUUGGGAGAGGCUUUGAAACACUCAAUCUUAUCCGGGGAGCCAUGGCUGAGCCGCAGCCCCUGCGGGUGAUGGGGUACCUCCCAGCUCCGUGCCCUGCUCUCUCUCCCUCUCUCUCUCGCCCUGCUUUCCGCGCAGGAUACGUGCUGCCUACAACUAACCCGUGCUCUCUGCGCCCAGUCAGCUGAUCCGGCUGCCUGUUUUGUUGUUGCUGCUAAAUAUAGCCUGCCGGAGCCCUUCCCGCUGAGCCCUGCUGCGAUGCACGCAGCCGAGCAGCAAAGCAGCCGGGCGACAGGAGCACACGCGGCUCCGCGCUGCAUCGCUGCACGGUGCUGCUGC
rnacentral:lncRNA from 7 species